GCACUGCUGAGGAGUCCCAUACCAGGAUGAAACGGCCGUCUAGUGC
rnacentral:hammerhead_ribozyme from 1 species